GAGAAACGAGAUGGGGGUGAAGCUGGAGAUAUUUCGGAUGAUAAUCUACCUCACUUUCCCUGUGGCUAUGUUCUGGGUUUCCAAUCAGGCCGAGUGGUUUGAGGACGAUGUCAUACAGCGCAAGGUGGGCAUAAGAGGAGUGUUUGAGGGUUCAUUCCAGGGGUGGGAGAGGGUGUGGGGCAGCAGUCUGCUGGGGACUAAUGUCUGCCUCCCAUAAGCCGACCCUGCCCUGAUGUGGGGCUCUGGAGGCCUUUGGCUCGUGUCCCAUUUGUGACUUUUCCUUACAGAGGGAGCUGUGGCCACCUGAGAAGGUAAGU
rnacentral:lncRNA from 1 species